GAGUUUGAUCAUGGCUCAGAUUGAACGCUGGCGGCAUGCCUUACACAUGCAAGUCGAGCGGCAGCACGGGUGCUUGCACCUGGUGGCGAGUGGCGAACGGGUGAGUAAUACAUCGGAACAUGUCCUGUAGUGGGGGAUAGCCCGGCGAAAGCCGGAUUAAUACCGCAUACGAUCUGAGGAUGAAAGCGGGGGACCUUCGGGCCUCGCGCUAUAGGGUUGGCCGAUGGCUGAUUAGCUAGUUGGUGGGGUAAAGGCCUACCAAGGCGACGAUCAGUAGCUGGUCUGAGAGGACGACCAGCCACACUGGGACUGAGACACGGCCCAGACUCCUACGGGAGGCAGCAGUGGGGAAUUUUGGACAAUGGGCGAAAGCCUGAUCCAGCAAUGCCGCGUGUGUGAAGAAGGCCUUCGGGUUGUAAAGCACUUUUGUCCGGAAAGAAAUCCUUGGUUCUAAUAUAGCCGGGGGAUGACGGUACCGGAAGAAUAAGCACCGGCUAACUACGUGCCAGCAGCCGCGGUAAUACGUAGGGUGCAAGCGUUAAUCGGAAUUACUGGGCGUAAAGCGCGCGCAGGCGGUUUGCUAAGACCGAUGUGAAAUCCCCGGGCUCAACCUGGGAACUGCAUUGGUGACUGGCAGCUAGAGUAUGGCAGAGGGGGUAGAAUUCCACGUGUAGCAGUGAAAUGCGUAGAGAUGUGGAGGAU
rnacentral:rRNA from 1 species